UACGAAGGGGGCUAGCGUUGCUCGGAAUCACUGGGCGUAAAGCGCACGUAGGCGGAUUGUUAAGUCAGGGGUGAAAUCCCGGAGCUCAACUCCGGAACUGCCUUUGAUACUGGCGAUCUUGAGUCCGGAAGAGGUGAGUGGAACUCCUAGUGUAGAGGUGGAAUUCGUAGAUAUUGGGAAGAACACCCGAUGGGCGAAGGCAGCCAUCUGGACCGACACUGACGCUGAGGCGCGAAAGCGUGGGGAGCAAACCAGG
rnacentral:rRNA from 1 species